rnacentral:rRNA from 1 species
CGUAACAAGGUCUCCGUAGGUGAACCUGCGGAGGGAUCAUUACACAAAUAUGAAGGCGGGCUGGAACCUCUCGGGGUUACAGCCUUGCUGAAUUAUUCACCCUUGUCUUUUGCGUACUUCUUGUUUCCUUGGUGGGUUCGCCCACCACUAGGACAAACAUAAACCUUUUGUAAUUGCAAUCAGCGUCAGUAACAAAUUAAUAAUUACAACCUUCAACAACGGAUCUCUUGGUUCUGGCAUCGAUGAAGAACGCAGCGAAAUGCGAUAAGUAGUGUGAAUUGCAGAAUUCAGUGAAUCAUCGAAUCUUUGAACGCACAUUGCGCCCUUUGGUAUUCCAAAGGGCAUGCCUGUUCGAGCGUCAUUUGUACCCUCAAGCUUUGCUUGGUGUUGGGCGUCUUGUCUCUAGCUUUGCUGGAGACUCGCCUUAAAGUAAUUGGCAGCCGGCCUACUGGUUUCGGAGCGCAGCACAAGUCGCACUCUCUAUCAGCAAAGGUCUAGCAUCCAUUAAGCCUUUUUUUUCAACUUUUGACCUCGGAUCAGGUAGGGAUACCCGCUGAACUUAAGCAUA